rnacentral:rRNA from 1 species
GACGAACGCUGGCGGCGUGCUUAACACAUGCAAGUCGAACGGAAAGUGCUCUUCGGAGUGACUCGAGUGGCGAACGGGUGAGUAACACGUGGGUGAUCUGCCCUGCACUUUGGGAUAAGCCUGGGAAACUGGGUCUAAUACCGAAUAGGACCAUGGCAUUCAUGUGCUGUGGUGGAAAGCUUUUGCGGUGUGGGAUGGGCCCGCGGCCUAUCAGCUUGUUGGUGGGGUAAUGGCCUACCAAGGCGACGACGGGUAGCCGGCCUGAGAGGGUGACCGGCCACACUGGGACUGAGAUACGGCCCAGACUCCUACGGGAGGCAGCAGUGGGGAAUAUUGCACAAUGGGCGCAAGCCUGAUGCAGCGACGCCGCGUGAGGGAUGACGGCCUUCGGGUUGUAAACCUCUUUCAGUAGGGACGAAGCGCAAGUGACGGUACCUAUAGAAGAAGGACCGGCCAACUACGUGCCAGCAGCCGCCGUAA